AGUGAACGCUGGCGGUAGGCCUAACACAUGCAAGUCGAACGGCAGCACAGUAAGAGCUUGCUCUUACGGGUGGCGAGUGGCGGACGGGUGAGGAAUACAUCGGAAUCUACUUUUUCGUGGGGGAUAACGUAGGGAAACUUACGCUAAUACCGCAUACGACCUAUGGGUGAAAGCAGGGGAUCUUCGGACCUUGCGCGAUUGAAUGAGCCGAUGUCGGAUUAGCUAGUUGGCGGGGUAAAGGCCCACCAAGGCGACGAUCCGUAGCUGGUCUGAGAGGAUGAUCAGCCACACUGGAACUGAGACACGGUCCAGACUCCUACGGGAGGCAGCAGUGGGGAAUAUUGGACAAUGGGCGCAAGCCUGAUCCAGCCAUACCGCGUGGGUGAGGAAGGCCUUCGGGUUGUAAAGCCCUUUUGUUGGGAAAGAAAAGCAGCAGGUUAAUACCCCGCUGUUCUGACGGUACCCAAAGAAUAAGCACCGGCUAACUUCGUG
rnacentral:rRNA from 1 species